AUCUGUCUCUCUCAGCAAUUAGAAGAUCCAAGCCUUGUCCAUUCUGUAAAGCCACUGCUGUUAGGGAGUCUGUCUAGUUCUGUAAAGUGAGAAUGGAAUCGGCUAUUUCUUUGAGGCUGUCAGAAAGAUCUUGAGGGAGAAAGUGAUACUGGGUUAGUGAAGUAGUUAAACCUGCCUUGCCAGUCCCUACAGGAGCAGUGAGGCCUAGACCAACAAGCAAGGCCAUUAAGUGUAUGACUCUAUGCUGUCAGACCUGGCUGUAACGGUGACAGGCAGGCUCUGGUUUCUUGGGGCAGUAUCUGUAUUUGGGCUAAGGUACAGUGUGCAAGUGCUGGUCCAGUUAGUGGGAAGGCACAAGUAGGUGGGAAUCCCACAAAGGAAAAAGACGCGUUGGCUGGGUAAACAGAAUUGGAUGUGGAUUUAAAGUUAAAGAACAACAGAAUUGGUUGUGGAUUGGUUAAAGAGGAAAAAUCUUUUACUGCCUAUUAGAACACAUUGUGAGGAAUGGUUAAAGGUAGGCAAGAAGAGACAAUCUGAGCAAGUGAGAGAUUUAUAACAAGGGACUCAUGGGAGUAAAGUUCCUGAUCCAAAAAGUGAGGACUGUCUUUAAACCCCUGUGGGAGAACUGUGUAAGUAUAUUACUGCUUUUCUCUUGAAAUGGGAUUUUCCGAUUCAAAGGCAAACAAACUGGGAGUCAGCUAGUCUCCUGUGCUGAGUCCUGAAGGUCACUAGAGGGCGUGUGCUCCCACCUAUCCUGACCUGAUGCAGCCAUAGAGAGAGUGCCAGAGGCCAGAGUCCAUGGAGGACAGUGCCCAACACCUCAUUCUCAGGACUGAUCACCAGAAGGUGCCUGUGUGGGCUGUGCAACGGUGAGUACAAAGCUUCCUGUCUGCAGGCUGAGUGUGGGUUGGAUGGUGGGUCUCUAGAGAACUCAGGAGAGGAAGGGCUUCAUUCAGUGGGUGUUAUUCACAGUGAGCACUGUUUCCACUGGACACCCAAGGCGCAGGUCCCCUGAGAAAAUUUCCAUACUGUGGC
rnacentral:lncRNA from 1 species